AUUGAACGCUGGCGGCAGGCCUAACACAUGCAAGUCGAGCGGAGCGGCGGACGGGUGAGUAAUGCCUAGGACUCUGCCUGGUAGUGGGGGAUAACGUCCGGAAACGGGCGCUAAUAUCGCAUACUAUUCGAUGAGCCUAUGGCGGAUGAGCUAGGGGGUGGGGUAAAGGCCUACCAAGGCGACGACCCGUAGCUGGUCUGAGAGGAUGAUCAGUCACACUGGAACUGAGACACGGUCCAGACUCCUACGGGAGGCAGCAGUGGGGAAUAUUGGACAAUGGGCGAAAGCCUGAUGCAGCCAUGCCGCGUGUGUGAAGAAGGUCUUCGGAUUGUAAAGCACUUUAAGUUGGGAGGCGUUACCAGCAGAAGAAGCACCGGCUAACUUCGUGCCAGCAGCCGCGGUAAUAC
rnacentral:rRNA from 1 species